rnacentral:rRNA from 1 species
CCUACGGGUGGCUGCAGUGGGGAAUAUUGGACAAUGGGGGGAACCCUGAUCCAGCCAUGCCGCGUGUGUGAAGAAGGCCCUCGGGUUGUAAAGCACUUUCAGUGAGGAAGAACGCCUGGUGGUUAAUACCCAUCAGGAAAGACAUCACUCACAGAAGAAGCACCGGCUAACUCCGUGCCAGCAGCCGCGGUAAUACGGAGGGUGCGAGCGUUAAUCGGAAUUACUGGGCGUAAAGCGCGCGUAGGUGGCUUGAUAAGCCGGUUGUGAAAGCCCCGGGCUCAACCUGGGAACGGCAUCCGGAACUGUCAUGCUAGAGUGCAGGAGAGGAAGGUAGAAUUCCCGGUGUAGCGGUGAAAUGCGUAGAGAUCGGGAGGAAUACCAGUGGCGAAGGCGGCCUUCUGGACUGACACUGACACUGAGGUGCGAAAGCGUGGGUAGCAAACAGGAUUAGAUACCCCUGUAGUC